rnacentral:lncRNA from 1 species
CCAUUUGCACGUGUGCUGCCAACAGACCAUUCUCUCCUACACAUGAGAUUUAACCAGACCCAAAAGCUAUAAAACCUAGAGACGUUUCAUUGUUGAUUUGGAAGAAGAAACGGUAUGGGCUGUAAGAACUGGAAAAGAUUUCUUCUGACUAUUAAACUCUGAGCUAUUUCAAAGCAAUAGAUUCUAGCUAUAGAGUGUUUAAUAAAAUGAGGAGGUUUGGGAUCUUCCAAGCUAUGUUUCAUUUCCUAACCCUAGACCAUGCUUCUGCAACUGGAACUAGAGAUCAAUGGGAAGAGCAACAAGGGCCAAUUUUUCUUCUCCCAAAGCCAGGGGAAGAAAA